rnacentral:lncRNA from 1 species
UCACCGGGUAAACAGAAUGGCCGCCCGCUGUUUUCAGGCAUAGAUUCCUCAUUUUAGAGGCAUCGAAAAUGCCAGCGCUAUGGAGGAUCUUUGCUCAGCGGUGAGGUUUAAGCCCAUAGGAAUGCAUUGAAGGGGUUUCAAUGGGUUUCUAUGGGCUUUUAAAUAUCGCAUAGCGAUGUUAUCGCUUAGCAGCGAUUUUUUUGGCACGAAUUAACAUCGCUGUGUGAGGCACCACUAUAAAUAACUUAUAACCUGAUACCCAGGUGAACUAUGAUAUAAUUGUCAUGAAUAUCUGGUUCACACUGGUAUUUAACCCUUUCUGGGAUGAAUGUUAGCUGUGCCAAACAGCACAGACUCAAAACUACCAAGGGGUGUUAUGAAGUUAUCUGUGGAUUUUAUUUGAGUGUCAUACUAAUCACCAUGUCAGAAGAAUUGGCUAUAGUGUUUUUAGCAGAAGUAACAACUCAGUAACUCACAUUUUGCAGCAAGUCAUCAAAUGAGUACAACGACCGAGGGACGUAGAUGAUUGGCCACAUCCCCAUACUUGACAUUCCCCCCCGAGAAGUCGACAUGUAUUUGAAUCCUUUGCGGUCCAAGAGUGUUCACGAGAAGAGUGGAAGGACCCGCAUUUCAAGGCAAAAGCUGCAAAAAAUUACAUCUCUCUUACUCAGACGGACAAAGGCUCCGGUGCAAUGUAAGUAUGUUCUUAUAAGUGAAGUAACCACUUACUGGGAUCAGGAAGCAGCAGCAAAGCAAGGACCAGAAAGAGCAAGUGGUGGCUCUUGAUAGCUAUAAAAAGGAAAAGGCUCAUGUUCAACUGGAUCUUGUAUAUCCCAAGAUGUCCUUCCACCAAUGAUGAUACAAGAGGAUAUUUUUGUACUUUUAUACUGUCCGUGUAAUCUGUACAUUGGAUUACACAUGCAAUUGCAGUAGUGCUCACUUCCAAACAAGAUGGAACAGUGUAUUCUUUUGUUUGUUAUCAUGAGUUAUGGCAACAUUAAAUGGGAAGGGAUGUGAGAUUUUCAAGGACUGAUUCACUUUUAACACUCCCCAGAGAGUUUUCAUGGCCAGGCAGGAACUUGAACCAACAUCUUCUUGUUCAACACUCUGUGCUACACUAGUUCUUGGCAUAAUUUGUUGGUGCUAUUUAACCUGCUCUGGGUGGCGCUUACACUCUUUUUGAAGUACUUUUUGCUCCUU